rnacentral:rRNA from 1 species
GAUGAACGCUGGCGGCGUGCCUAAUACAUGCAAGUCGAACGAAACUUCUUUAUCACCGAGUGCUUGCACUCACCGAUAAAGAGUUGAGUGGCGAACGGGUGAGUAACACGUGGGCAACCUGCCCAAAAGAGGGGGAUAACACUUGGAAACAGGUGCUAAUACCGCAUAACCAUAGUUACCGCAUGGUAACUAUGUAAAAGGUGGCUAUACUACCGCUUUUGGAUGGGCCCGCGGCGCAUUAGCUAGUUGAUAGGGUAAAGGCUUACCAAGGCAAUGAUGCGUAGCCGAAUUGAGAGGUUGAUCGGCCACAUUGGAACUGAGACACGGCCCAAACUCCUACGGGAGGCAGCAGUAGGGAAUCUUCCACAAUGGGCGAAAGCCUGAUGGAGCAACGCCGCGUGGGUGAAGAAGGUCUUCGGAUCGUAAAACCCUGUUGUUAGAGAAGAAAGUGCGUGAGAGUAACUGUUCACGUUUCGACGGUAUCUAACCAGAAAGCCACUGCUAACUACGUG